UGGGAAGUAUUGGACAAUGGCGGCAAGCCUGAUCCAGCAAUGCCGCGUGUGUGAAGAAGGCCUUCGGGUUGUAAAGCACUUUUAUCAGGAGCGAAAUACCACGGGUUAAUACCCUAUGGGCGUGACGGUACCUGAGGAAUAAGCACCGGCUAACUUCGUGCCAGCAGCCGCGGUAAUACGAAGGGUGCAAGCGUUAAUCGGAAUUACUGGGCGUAAAGGGUGCGUAGGCGGUUCGUUAAGUCUGUUGUGAAAUCCCGGCGUCAACCUGGGAAUGGCAAUGGAUACUGGCGAGCUAGAGUGUGAUAGAGGAUGGUGGAAUUCCCGGUGUAGCGGUGAAAUGCGUAGAGAUUCGGGAGGAACAUCAGUUGGCGAAGGCGGCCAUCUGGAUCAACACUGACGCUGAAGCACGAAGCGUGGGGAGCAAACA
rnacentral:rRNA from 1 species